rnacentral:rRNA from 1 species
UACGUAGGGUGCAAGCGUUGUCCGGAAUUAUUGGGCGUAAAGAGCUCGUAGGCGGUUUGUCGCGUCGACUGUGAAAACCCGAGGCUUAACCUCGGGCCUGCAGUCGAUACGGGCAGACUAGAGUUCGGUAGGGGAGACUGGAAUUCCUGGUGUAGCGGUGAAAUGCGCAGAUAUCAGGAGGAACACCGGUGGCGAAGGCGGGUCUCUGGGCCGAUACUGACGCUGAGGAGCGAAAGCGUGGGGAGCGAACAGGAUUAGAAACCCUCGUAGUCC